GUAGCCUAGUGGUUAGAGUGUAGGGACGGCAGGUAGCCUAGUGGUUAGAGUGUAGGGACGGAAGGUAGCCUAGUGGAUAGAGUGUAGGGACGGAAGGUAGCCUAGUGGUUAGAGUGUAGGGACGGAAGGUAGCCUAGUGGUUAGAGUGUAGGGACGGCAGGUAGCCUAGUGGUUAGAGUGUAGGGACGGCAGGUAGCCUAGUGGUUAGAGUGUAGGGACGGCAGGUAGCCUAGUGGUUAGAGUGUAGGGACGGAAGGUAGCCUAGUGGUUAGAGUGUAGGGACGGCAGGUAGCCUAGUGGUUAGAGUGUAGGGACGGAAGGUAGCCUAGUGGUUAGAGUGUAGGGACGGCAGGUAGCCUAGUGGUUAGAGUGUAGGGACGGCAGGUAGCCUAGUGGUUAGAGUGUAGGGACGGCAGGUAGCCUAGUGGUUAGAGUGUAGGGAUGGCAGGUAGCCUAGUGGUUAGAGUGUAGGGACGGCAGGUAGCCUAGUGGUUAGAGUGUAGGGACGGCAGGUAGCCUAGUGGUUAGAGUGUAGGGACGGCAGGUAGCCUAGUGGUUAGAGUGUAGGGAUGGCAGGUAGCCUAGUGGUUAGAGUGUAGGGAUGGCAGGUAGCCUAGUGGUUAGAGUGUAGGGAUGGCAGGUAGCCUAGUGGUUAGAGUGUAGGGAUGGCAGGUAGCCUAGUGGUUAGAGUGUAGGGACGGGAGGUAGCCUAGUGGUUAGAGUGUAGGGAUGGCAGGUAGCCUAGUGGUUAGAGUGUAGCGACGGCAGGUAGCCUAGUGGUUAGAGUGUAGGGACGGCAGGUAGCCUAGUGGUUAGAGUGUAGGGACGGCAGGUAGCCUAGUGGUUAGAGUGUAGGGACGGCAGGUAGCCUAGUGGUUAGAGUGUAGGGACGGCAGGUAGCCUAGUGGUUAGAGUGUAGGGACGGCAGGUAGCCUAGUGGUUAGAGUGUAGGGACGGCAGGUAGCCUAGUGGUUAGAGUGUAG